rnacentral:rRNA from 1 species
GUGCAGCCGCCGCGGUAAUACGGAGGAUCCAAGCGUUAUCCGGAAUCAUUGGGUUUAAAGGGUCCGUAGGCGGUCUGGUAAGUCAGAGGUGAAAUCUUGCAGCUCAACUGUAAAAUUGCCAUUGAUACUGGAUUUCUUGAAUUAGUGUGAAGUGGUUAGAAUGUGUAGUGUAGCGGUGAAAUGCAUAGAUAUUACACAGAAUACCAAUUGCGAAGGCAGAUCACUAACACUAUAUUGACGCUGAGGGACGAAAGCGUGGGGAGCGAACAGGAUUAGAUA